rnacentral:rRNA from 1 species
GACGAACGCUGGCGGCGUGCUUAACACAUGCAAGUCGAGCGGUAAGGCCCUUUCGGGGGUACGACGAGCGGCGAACGGGUGAGUAACACGUGGGUGACCUGCCCUCAGCUCUGGGAUAAGCCCGGGAAACUGGGUCUAAUACUGGAUAUGACUCCAUGACGCAUGUUGUGGGGUGGAAAGCCUUGUGCGGCUGAGGAUGGGCCCGCGGCCUAUCAGCUUGUUGGG